rnacentral:rRNA from 1 species
AGAACGAACGCUGGCGGCAGGCUUAACACAUGCAAGUCGAGCGCCCCGCAAGGGGAGCGGCAGACGGGUGGGUAACGCGUGGGAACGUACCCCCCCGGUUCGGAAUAACUCAGGGAAACUUGAGCUAAUACCGGAUACGGCUGGAAGGCGAAAGAUUCAUCGCCGGGGGAUCGGCCCGCGUCCGAUUAGCUAGUUGGUGUGGUAACGGCGCACCAAGGCGACGAUCGGUAGCUGGUCUGAGAGGAUGAUCAGCCACAUUGGGACUGAGACACGGCCCAAACUCCUACGGGAGGCAGCAGUGGGGAAUAUUGGACAAUGGGCGCAAGCCUGAUCCAGCCAUGCCGCGUGAGUGAUGAAGGCCUUAGGGUUGUAAAGCUCUUUCACCCACGACGAUAAUGACGGUAGUGGGAGAAGAAGCCCCGGCUAACUUCGCGCCAGCAGCCGC